rnacentral:misc_RNA from 1 species
AACGCACAUUGCGCCCCCUGGUAUUCCGGGGGGCAUGCCUGUCCGAGCGUCAUUACUGCCUUCAAGCCCGGCUUGUGUGUUGGGUCACCGUCCCCUGCUCCCUAGGGGACGGGCCCGAAAGGCAGCGGCGGCACCGCGCCCAGUCCUCGAGCGUAUAGGGCUCUGUCACCUGCUCUGUAGGCCUGGCCGGCGCCUGCCGACCCCCAAUCAUCUUCUCUAGGUUGACCUCGGAUCAGGUAGGGAUACCCGCUGAACUUAA